UACGUAGGAGACGAGCGUUGUCCGGAAUUACUGGGCGUAAAGCGCAUGUAGGCGGCAGCGCAAGUCGGGCGUGAAAUCCCACGGCUCAACCGUGGAAGUGCACUCGAAACUGCGCAGCUAGAGUCCUGGAGAGGAAGGUGGAAUGCUUGGUGUAGAGGUGAAAUUCGUAGAUAUCAAGCGGAACACCGGUGGCGAAGGCGGCCUUCUGGACAGUGACUGACGCUGAGAUGCGAAAGCGUGGGGAGCAAACAGG
rnacentral:rRNA from 1 species